UAACCUCACAAAUUCAGCAUCGGAUUACGGUUUACUUCGGCCAUUUGGUAGGCGCUUCGUAUUUCAUCGUGAUGCCUAACCUUUCAAAAUAAAAGUUUUGUUAAACAUAAAAGUGGAUUUCAACAUUCGAAAUUUCCUCGACGCGAAGAGCAAAUAUUAUGCAGCACGACGCAAAUGAACUCCACGUUAUCUCGAACGUGUUUUACAUGACAUUCUUGUCAGCCAUCAAAUUAACUCGUGCAGCUCGUAACUUCGUAACCAUUGCGUCUGCGAAGCACAACUAGCAGUCGGUAUAAACGGACUCAAAGGUGGAAUAACAGCGUCUUCCUGUGAACCUAUUACCAGAAGAAUGGGUAAGAAAAUGAAACGAAAUGAAAAGAAGUCACCGCUUGUCAAGUUACGAAGUUAAGCGAAGCUGAAACGUCCGCGUAAAAAUCGUGCCUCAAAUGUUAAUAAUUUUACGUGCAAUGGUUUCACGUUGAGUCAGUCAUUCCAAACAAGGAUGCACUCGACUGCAGUAGGAGAUACAUGCAAAUAAUGAAGACGCACCAGACCGGGAAUGUCAAGAAACUGAAAACAAUUUCAGCAAGACUAAACCAACUAAUUGCAUUUGAGUGUACAAACUUCGUUUGAUAAACUUUACAAGACAUUUAACACAUUCUACGCUAAUAUUUCUGAGAUAUUUUUAUAUAAUACUAAUAUUUUUCUCAAUUUCAGCAAGCUAGUUGUAAUCAAAUCAAGAAGAAUUCGUCGCUGUCGCAUUAGACAAUAAAACACAAAACACGUGCGACUGUGGUUUGGGUGUACUCACUUUUUUUAAAAAUUUUAUAUCAUAUAUAUUCACAUAACUUACACAUAAUUCACACACGCACACACUACGUAUAGCAUACAAAGGCUGUUCUUGACGAGUUCACAAAAGUAUUGUGUGUGCAUCCGAUGUGCACGCCUGCUGUGCUUGCCGAUCGGCUCGUGAACGUGGGCACGACGACGAAACAAAGUCGACGCGAUGUGUAUAUGGAGGACUGCAGGAGUGCAACGCGCCCGACGCCAGCGAACCGGCGACUGGAGAACUCAACGUCGAAUUAACCAGUCGGGCCCCGGCCCCAGUCUGGCCUGACCUGGUGUAGAGCACACGAGCAAUGACGUCGAAGUUGAAGGUGUAACAUUAAAAUCGAUGUCGUAUGAUUUCAUACGUACGCAAAUAAACGAAGGUUAAUUAGCUUCUUUAUGUGCCUUUUGUACAUCCAAACGUAUUUACCUGCCCUAACCUCAAAUGUAUUUCUAUCCUGACCAUCCUGUAGAUGGCUUAAUAAGUGUAAUGUUAGUUAUUCUAAUUAAUCCCAAC